AACGAGAAAGUGGAGCAAUCCAUGAGUAAAGUGGCGCACGGGUGAGUAACACGUGACUAACCUACCCUUGAGUGGGGGAUAACCUAGGGAAACCUGGGCUAAUACCGCAUAAUACCUUCGGGUCAAAGGAGCAAUUCGCUUAAGGAGGGGGUCGCGGCCGAUUAGUUAGUUGGCGGGGUAAUGGCCCACCAAGACUAUGAUCGGUAUCCGGCCUGAGAGGGCGCACGGACACACUGGAACUGAAACACGGUCCAGACUCCUACGGGAGGCAGCAGUGGGGAAUUUUGCGCAAUGGGGGAAACCCUGACGCAGCAACGCCGCGUGGAGGAUGAAGUCCCUUGGGACGUAAACUCCUUUCGAUCGGGACGAUUAUGACGGUACCGAGAGAAGAAGCCCCGGCUAACUUCGUGCCAGCAGCCGCGGUAAUACGAGGGGGGCGAGCGUUGUUCGGAAUUAUUGGGCGUAAAGGGUGCGUAGGCGGUUUGGUAAGUCUUGUGUGAAAUCUUCGGGCUCAACUCGAAGUCUGCAUGAGAAACUGCCGGGCUUGAGUGUGGGAGAGGUGAGUGGAAUUCCCGGUGUAGCGGUGAAAUGCGUAGAUAUCGGGAGGAACACCUGUGGCGAAAGCGGCUCACUGGACCACAACUGACGCUGAGGCACGAAAGCUAGGGGAGCAAACAGGAUUAGAUACCCUGGUAGUCCUAGCCCUAAACGAUGAUCGCUUGGUGUGACGGGUACCCAAUCCCGCCGUGCCGAGGCUAACGCGUUAAGCGAUC
rnacentral:rRNA from 1 species